CGCUCUCGCGCUGCCCCCGCGGCCCCGCCCCUCAAGAAAAUACCCACCCCUUGCUUGACACGAUCCGUCGAUCGCCAACCGCACGACCCUCACUUGCACGUCCCGCGCACAACCCUCGCUGGCCUGGCCCUGGUUCUCCUCGCAAACCGCUGCUCCGUCACUCCUUUGCUCCCUCCGGCGCACGGCAGCGCCAAAACUAGCGGAUAAACAAGCAGCGCAAUUAGUGCAAUCAAUCAUCGGCGGCUCCGGUCAACGCAAUCAAUCACCAGCGGCUCCGCUCAACGCCCCCUAGAUUACUUCGCCACCAGAAGCGAGGAACCUCGAAGCGGACUGCGAGAGGAACCCCGCCGAUCGAUUCGGAGGAGAUGGGCGAGAGGCGCGACUCACCAGCCGACGGAGGUGCGAGAUCGGUGGCGGACGCGGCCUUCCUCCUUGGCGGCAGGAGGAGAGGGAGCGAGGCACGGCGAACGGGCAGGACUCGCCGGCCGGCGGAGGCGCCAGAUCGGCGGCGAACGCAAGCCCUCCUUGUUGGCGGCGGCGUGCCUUCCAAUCCUCUCUCUCUCCGGACGACUAGCUGACCUCGCCCGCCUCGUGGCCGCAUCACCGAGAUUCCAGUGUCUCGCUUCAGCAAGCUCCUCCUCGCUCUCAUCAUCAACCUCCUCUAUGUGGUCGACGGCUGCAUCCCUGACUUGGACUAUGUUUCUGUAGGUGAAGGUUCUCAAGUGUGAGCUCUGAAGUUCUUCCCCACACGGUCCCGUACUGUCGCAGCACAUGUAAUUGGCUGCCUGCUUUUCUAAUGCCUGUGUUUUUAGUAGACUGCUGGUGUAUCCUGUCAUUCUGUGUAUGUUGCAAACUGGAAACUAGAAGAUUUUGUGA